rnacentral:rRNA from 1 species
UAAUACGGAGGGUGCAAGCGUUAUCCGGAUUCACUGGGUUUAAAGGGUGCGUAGGCGGGUAAGUAAGUCCGUGGUGAAAUCUCUGAGCUUAACUCAGAAACUGCCGUGGAUACUAUUUGUCUUGAAUAUUGUGGAGGUGAGCGGAAUAUGUCAUGUAGCGGUGAAAUGCUUAGAUAUGACAUAGAACACCAAUUGCGAAGGCAGCUCACUACACAGUUAUUGACGCUGAGGCACGAAAGCGUGGGGAUCAAACAGG